UCCACGCUAACGUUUCGGACAGUAACAAGUCUAGAGUUUUGCUUCUCAUACUAAAUUUGUCUUAACAAGGACAGUUAAUGGCAGAAAUAUGUUCAGGAGAUGCAUAUUGUUAUUAUUGUUCUGUGUGUGCGCAAGAUCAAUACGCGAAAAAGACAUCUUUGAAUUAAGUGCAGACGACAUCAUCGCGCAAGAGCUCGGCGAUGUGUACGAAGCACGAGCUUUACUGAACAGCCUGGCUGUUCACGACAACCGUACGGAAUCUACAGUUGAACCGGUCAAGCUAAACCCCAACAAAACUAAAUCUAACAAGACACAAUCGACAACAGUAAAAAUACCCAUGGCUACAAUCCCUCCAGAAAUAGAAAAACCAAAAUAUAUUAAUACAACACUAAGAGAAUUGAAAAAACGCCGCUUGCAGAUACAAAUUGAAAAAAUAUUGAACACAGAGCCAACACCGGUAUCCAACUACCUGGCCGGUGCGGGUGACCCGACAGUACUCACUCGUAGGUUCGAUCACAUGGUUGCUCAAUUCAAGAUGAAAGACCCAGAAACUCGAAGAGAAAUCUAUGACUCAAAGGAACAACACUGGCCAAAAAUUUGGGCAAAAAGAAUAUUAUGGAAACUUCAGGAGCAUUUUGUGUACGAAGUACGUUACAAAUUAAUUUACCCCCAGCAGCUAAGAAAAAAAUACAUCUCAAACCUCAAGUACAAACUAGGAUUUUUAUUCGGACUGUUGAGGCAGCUCAAAAAUCAGCAAAAAUGGGUGUAUUGGGCGUUUCGGGUUCAUCAUACCAGACUUUCCGCGAUUUACUUUUCUUUUAAAAUGUUCGAAAAACUUGCGAGAUUAGAUGUUGACAUAAGAGAUGUGAUUGAAUUAAUUAAGAAGACAGAAUAUAAGAUAAAUAUACGGAAGGACCCUGAGUUCUACGAGAAAGAAGUGGUCUAAACAUACAUUAGAGGUUAAUCAUUGUAGGAUUUCGUUUAAAUUCCAUUUGCUUAUGGUACAAUAAAUAAUUCCUUGCAGCAGAAUAAUAAACAUUUAAUUUUGA